rnacentral:rRNA from 1 species
UAGGGAAUCUUCCGCAAUGGGCGAAAGCCUGACGGAGCAACGCCGCGUGAGUGAUGAAGGUCUUCGGAUCGUAAAACUCUGUUAUUAGGGAAGAACAUAUGUGUAAGUAACUGUGCACAUCUUGACGGUACCUAAUCAGAAAGCCACGGCUAACUACGUGCCAGCAGCCGCGGUAAUACGUAGGUGGCAAGCGUUAUCCGGAAUUAUUGGGCGUAAAGCGCGCGUAGGCGGUUUUUUAAGUCUGAUGUGAAAGCCCACGGCUCAACCGUGGAAGGUCAUUGGAAACUGGAAAACUUGAGUGCAGAAGAGGAAAGUGGAAUUCCAUGUGUAGCGGUGAAAUGCGCAGAGAUAUGGAGGAACACCAGUGGCGAAGGCGACUUUCUGGUCUGUAACUGACGCUGAUGUGCGAAAGCGUGGGGAUCAAACAGGAUUAGAUACCCUGGUAGUCCACGCCGUAAACGAUGAGUGCUAAGUGUUAGGGGGUUUCCGCCCCUUAGUGCUGCAGCUAACGCAUUAAGCACUCCGCCUGGGGAGUACGACCGCAAGGUUG